UUGCAGUGUGAGGUGCCUUGCAGAACCAUCCCCACCCUCCCCCACUCACCAGUACAGCAGCUGCAGCUUGUUGGGUGCUAAUGGGGCUGGCUGCCUCCUUCUGCAACUGCUCUAAGGAAAGCCACCCCAGCACUUGGACCUGUUGUCCUUCAAAAAGAGAAGUGCAUCUGCACACAGCUUUUCUCAAGUAAGGGUUGGGAUUUGCUUUCCUUGGCUAUUGAUUUUAGAAGAGCUGGAGCUUGGAUAUACAUAUUCCCUGGGUGAUAAGCUCAUCUCGUAUGGAAGAACUGAAGACAUCCAUCCUCCAUUCUUAGGUGAUCUUCUCGAAGGAAAGAUCGGUGUCAAAUGGAAGCAAGUUUUCCCUCUACGUCAUGAUGCUAGUACGUUUUUAUUAUAGAUUGAGAUCCUAAGGCUGUGCUGAUCUGCUACAUGAUUAUAUAAUGCUCCAGGACACCUGUGUAAAUAGCAAACAGAGAGGCUUUUUGUAGAUACUAGAUCUUAGAUAAGUGACUCUGAGAAGUAAUAUAGGAUCUUGGCUGUAAACCUCUGUUAUAUGCACUACGUAUUUUUGGUCAUUUGUUUAUUAUGAGAAGUACAGAAGCUGCUCCUCGUACCGUAAUUUUUGUAAGGCUUGCAUGUAUAAAUAUUCAUUUUGCAAAUAUUAAAUGGAGGAGCAUGAGAGAAAC
rnacentral:lncRNA from 1 species